rnacentral:lncRNA from 1 species
AAAAAUUGAAGGGUGUAACGUUCGUCUCCAACGGCUAUGUAACGUUCACCUAGUCAGGAAGGUGUUACGCUCGUCACAGGGGUGUAACGCUCGUAACAGGCUCUUGGCGUGCCGUUCGUCAUAGAUUGUGUGACGCUCGUCACACAUUCUUUUUGGCAAGGCUUCAGUAGCGUUCUACAGAAUUACUUUGGUAAUGGAUUUAUUUUUAUUAUUUUGUUUUGUUUUUUAGAUUAUUUUAUCUUGCUAAUUAAUUUAUCUUGCAUGCUAUUCUACUUUGCAUAAUAUUGCAUGAAUAAUUCAA